rnacentral:rRNA from 1 species
ACGUACACUCCUGCGGGAGGCAGCAGUGGGGAAUAUUGGACAAUGGGCGCAAGCCUGAUCCAGCCAUGCCGCGUGAGUGAUGAAGGCCCUAGGGUUGUAAAGCUCUUUCACCGGUGAAGAUAAUGACGGUAACCGGAGAAGAAGCCCCGGCUAACUUCGUGCCAGCAGCCGCGGUAAUACGAAGGGGGCUAGCGUUGUUCGGAUUUACUGGGAGUAAAGCGCACGUAGGCGGACUAUUAAGUCAGGGGUGAAAUCCCGGGGCUCAACCCCGGAACUGCCUUUGAUACUGGUAGUCUUGAGUUCGAGAGAGGUGAGUGGAAUUCCGAGUGUAGAGGUGAAAUUCGUAGAUAUUCGGAGGAACACCAGUGGCGAAGGCGGCUCACUGGCUCGAUACUGACGCUGAGGUGCGAAAGCGUGGGGAGCAAACAGGAUUAGAUACCCCGGUAGUCCCA